rnacentral:rRNA from 1 species
UACGUAGGUGGCAAGCGUUGUCCGGAUUUAUUGGGUUUAAAGGGUGCGUAGGCGGUUCCAUAAGUCAGUGGUGAAAUACAAUAGCUUAACUAUUGAGGUGCCAUUGAUACUGCGGAACUUGAGUACAGACGAGGUAGGCGGAAUUGACGGUGUAGCGGUGAAAUGCUUAGAUAUCGUCAAGAACACCGAUAGCGAAGGCAGCUUACUAGACUGUAACUGGCGCUGAGGCACGAAAGUGUGGGGAUCAAACAGGAUUAGAUACCCCUGUAGU